CCCUCCCUCACAGCUACAGGCAGCAGAGCAGUGUGGGAAAGAGGGGCACUUCCAGGCCAGUCCCUCCCACAAGGAGCCAAUGGGAAUGUGGGAGGAAGCGAGUGACCCAGUGAUGGGGAAGAAGGA